rnacentral:rRNA from 1 species
GCCAAAAAUCUAACCCAAUACACAAACAAAACCCAGUUACCAUGCUGACAAAACUAAACCAUUAUAAAAAUUUAGUAAAGGCGAUUAAAAAAUUUUUAGAAGUUAUACCCAUAGUACCGCAAGGGAAAGAUGAAAUAAAAUGAAAACUUAAGCAAAAAAAAGAAGAGAUAAAACCUCGUACCUUUUGCAUCAUGAAUUAACUAGUUCAAUCAAGCAAAAAGACUUUUAGUUUGACAUCCCGAAUCUAAGCGAGCUACUUCAAGGCAGCUUUCUGAGCCCACCCGUCUCUGUAGCAAAAGAGUGGGGAGACCUUCAAGUAGAAGUGAUACACCUAA